rnacentral:rRNA from 1 species
AUUGAACGCUGGCGGCAGGCUUAACACAUGCAAGUCGAACGAGUGGCGGACGGGUGAGUAAUGUCUGGGAAUCUGCCCUAUGGAGGGGGAUAACUACGGGAAACGGUAGCUAAUACCGCAUACCAUCGGAUGUGCCCAGAUGGGAUUAGCUAGUGGGUGGGGUAAAGGCUCACCAAGGCGACGAUCCCUAGCUGGUCUGAGAGGAUGACCAGCCACACUGGGACUGAGACACGGUCCAGACUCCUACGGGAGGCAGCAGUGGGGAAUAUUGCACAAUGGGCGCAAGCCUGAUGCAGCCAUGCCGCGUGUAUGAAGAAGGCCUUCGGGUUGUAAAGUACUUUCAGCAGGGAGGCGUUACCCGCAGAAGAAGCACCGGCUAACUCCGUGCCAGCCGCCGCGGUAAUAC